rnacentral:rRNA from 1 species
GAUGAACGCUGGCGGCGUGCCUAAUACAUGCAAGUCGAGCGAACGGACGAGAAGCUUGCUUCUCUGAUGUUAGCGGCGGACGGGUGAGUAACACGUGGAUAACCUACCUAUAAGACUGGGAUAACUUCGGGAAACCGGAGCUAAUACCGGAUGAUAUUUUGAACCGCAUGGUUCAAAAGUGAAAGACGGUCUUGCUGUCACUUAUAGAUGGAUCCGCGCUGCAUUAGCUAGUUGGUAAGGUAACGGCUUACCAAGGCAACGAUGCAUAGCCGACCUGAGAGGGUGAUCGGCCACACGGGAACUGAGACACGGACCAGACUCCUAAGGGAGGCAGCAGUAGGGAAUAUGACGAAAUGGGCGAAAGCAUGACGGAGCAACGCCGCGUGAGUGAUGAAGGUCUUAGGAUCGUAAAACUCUGUUAUUAGGGAAGAACAUAUGUGUAAGUAACUGUGCACAUCUUGACGGUACCUAAUCAGAAAGCCACGGCUAACUACGUG